GGAGGGUGCAAGCGUUGUUCGGAUUUACUGGGCGUAAAGCGUGUUUAGGCGGAUUUGUAAGUUAGGUGUGAAAUCCCCCGGCUUAACCGGGGAAGGUCACCUAAUACUGCAAAUCUUGAGUUCCGGGGGGGGUGAGUGGAAUUCCCAGUGUAGAGGUGAAAUUCGUAGAGAUUGGGAGGAACACCGGUGGCGAAAGCGACUCACUAAUCGGACACUGACGCUCAAGCACGAAAGCGUGGGUAGCAAACAGGAUUAGAUACCCUGGUAGUCCACGCCGUAAACGAUGGAUACUAGGUGUUGGAGGAAUUGAUCCCCUUCAGUGCCCGUGCUAACGCAUUAAGUAUCCCGCCUGGGGAGUACGGCCGCAAGGCUA
rnacentral:rRNA from 1 species